CUCCCUAUAGCUCAACAGGAUAGAGCAGCCGCCUCCUAAGCGGCCGAUCCGGGUUCGAGUCCUGGUGGGGAGGCCA
rnacentral:tRNA from 1 species